CCAUUCCGGAGGCAUUUCACGGGGCCCUGUAACACCCGGGCGAGAAAAUGCUAAAUCAGAUAAUGGCAACCACUGUGAACUAUAUUAUCUCUAGGGUAUUAUGGGGUCUCCAUGGCAGAAUUGCUGCUGGGAGGUGGCUGCUCAUCCAGGGACUAUAUUUUUCAACAUUCUUUGCAUCUAGAUAUGGUCACGUGACUUGUUCUCACCAGUGAAAUAUCAGUGUGGAAAUGGAUGUGGACGCGGUGCUGCUGCCUGAGAUUAGCAGGAAGCAAUUCUUUUCCCAUUUGGAGAGACCCCGGCUUUGUCAGGCCAGGAGAUGGUUUUGCAGCAGCAGAAGACUAUGAACUGGGCUUUGGGAGAUAGGAUCUCUGGUUGUAUUCUGGCUAUCCACACUCUGAAAGACGACCGUGACAGAGAAUUUGAGUAUCCUACCAAUAUACCAACAAAAGGAUGAAAGAAGAUUUGGAGUCAAGGGAAAACAAGGGCAAUAAAAUAGAUGCUUACCACCUGCUCUCAUACAGUUGCUAGAAGAGGACUGCACAUUUGGUUCUAAGUUUCUGGAAGAUAAAGCAAAAAUAGAAACACAACUCAUUAUAAAAUUUUGGUGUAUCCAUAAAAUAAAAACAAAUGACCUGUUUGA